ACUUAUCGGUAAACACCAGUACUUCCACCAUAAUCUACUUCGCUUGCUUUUGAGAGGCGAAUUUAACAAGGAGAUGUCCUAAGAGAGAGUCUAUCGUCACCCUCUGCAUUACCUGUAAGUACCUACGUCGCUACUCAAACGUAACCACCCAUUUCGAUAAUCCCAAAUCGCUAUAAAAUUCGCUAGUAGUUCUGAUUUAUAAAAACACGCAUCUUUCUAUUAAUUUUAAUCAUUUCAUUUAAAUUUUAUUUGUUUGAAAAGGCACAAAGUUGAAAUUUUAAGUCGAAUUGACUAUUAUGUCUUGUCUUUCGACAAGCAAGCCCUUUUAAAAAUGCGUUUUUUUGCAACUGCAUUGCUUUACGCAGUUUUUCGUCUGCAGUACCAUUCCCAUCAUUUAACGGAAUUGAGUCUAAAUAAGAAAAAAAACUUACUAAGUGCCAAUUUUUUUGUAUAAAACAAGAAAUAUAAUACCCAGUAGUGCGUUAUAAAAGUUUUGAAGGGAUUUUAAGGACGUUUUGCCCUGCACUCCAUCGACAUUGAAUGCCAUUGCUAUUUCAUCGCUCAAAAUAUUUCUUAAAUUUUUCAAAACGCCGGUAGGUUGCAGCAGCGAUCUCAUAGCUUUAACCUGUGAAAAAAUAAAAUACUAUGAAGCAUGUUCAAUAGCGUGUCCCUUAUUUUUCAAAUUAAUUUGUUUUUUACGUACUUGUGAUAAUUUUUUCGAAGAUUUUUCUUGCAGUUUAUAAAAACCACAACCUCACUUUUUCCAAGGCACCUCAAAUUUCUUAGAAACAAAAUGAAAAAAAUGGAAUCUACACUAGUGCACGCAUAUGCACAAGGAAAUAAUUAUAUUGCGUUUGUAUUUAUCUUAGGUACAAUUUUAAACACUUUACAAAAUGAGUGUCGGCUGAGGAUUCCGACUUAGGAUGAAACUGGAUAUAUAAAAAUGUUGGAAAACUGGAGGUUUAAAGAUGUUCGCACACGCGCAACUCCGACUGAAUAUAUAUAAAAUGUUGGAAAACUGAGGAUGGCACACACGCCGUUUAAAGAUGUUCGCACACGCGUAACUCCGAUUGGAUAUAUAUUUAUAAAUGUUGGAAAACUGAGGUUUGGCAUACACGCCGUUUAAAGAUGUUCGCACACGCGUAACUCCGACUGGAUAUAUAUUUAUAAAUGUUGGAAAACUGAGGUUUGGCAUACACGCCGUUUAAAGAUGUUCGCACACGCGUAACUCCGACUGGAUAUAUAUUUAUAAAUGUUGGAAAACUGAGGUUUGGCACACACGCCGUUUAAAGAUGUUCGCACACGCGUAACUCCGACUGGAUAUAUAUUUAUAAAUGUUGGAAAACUGAGGUUUGGCACACACGCCGUUUAAAGAUGUUCGCACACGCGUAACUCCGACUGGAUAUAUAUUUAUAAAUGUUGGAAAACUGAGGUUUGGCAUACACGCCGUUUAAAGAUGUUCGCACACGCGUAACUCCGACUGGAUAUAUAUUUAUAAAUGUUGGAAAACUGAGGUUUGGCAUACACGCCGUUUAAAGAUGUUCGCACACGCGUAACUCCGACUGGAUAUAUAUUUAUAAAUGUUGGAAAACUGAGGUUUGGCACACACGCCGUUUAAAGAUGUUCGCACACGCGUAACUCCGACUGGAUAUAUAUUUAUAAAUGUUGGAAAACUGAGGUUUGGCAAAAAAAUUAUUCGAAAAAUAAGGGACGCGCUAAAUAUCAAUAAAACUUAAUAAUAUUUAUAAAACUUACAUAAGUGUUUUUGUUUUCGCUGUUGAGCUGGUCAUUUAAACUGAUUAGCUGCUCUUCGUUCUUUAAGGAGAAUUUGGACUGG